GAUGAAGAACGCAGCGAAAUGCGAUAAGUAGUGUGAAUUGCAGAAUUCAGUGAAUCAUCGAAUCUUUGAACGCACAUUGCGGCCAUAGGUAUUCCUUUGGCCAUGCCUGUUCGAGCGUCAUUUACACCCUCAAGCCUAGCUUGGUGUUGGGCGUCUGUCCCGCCGUUCUCGCGCGCGGACUCGCCUCAAAGUCAUUGGCGGCGGUCGUGCCGGCCCCCUCGCGCAGCACAUUUGCGCUUCUCGGAGGCCCGGCGGAUCCGCGCUCCAGCAAGACCUUUCACGACUUGACCUCGGAUCAGGUAGGGAUACCCGCUGAACUUAAGCAUAUCGAUAAGCGGAGGA
rnacentral:misc_RNA from 1 species